rfam:Dipodomys ordii contig_70984, whole genome shotgun sequence.
GGGAAGGUAGCUCAGUGGUAGAGCGCUUGCCUUCCAUGCUCGAGGGCCUGGGUUCGAUUCCUCAACCCCA